UACAGAGGGGGCAAGCGUUGUUCGGAAUUACUGGGCGUAAAGGGCGCGUAGGCGGCCCGCUAAGUCGAACGUGAAAUCCCCGAGCUCAACUCGGGAACUGCGUCCGAUACUGGCGGGCUUGAAUCCGGGAGAGGUGAGUGGAACUCCGAGUGUAGAGGUGAAAUUCGUAGAUAUUCGGAAGACCACCAGUGGCGAAGGCGGCUUGCCAGAAUGCGCUCGACGGUGAGGGAUGAAAGCUGGGGGAGCAAACCGGG
rnacentral:rRNA from 1 species